rnacentral:rRNA from 1 species
CAGGAUGGACCCGCGUCUGAUUAGCUAGUUGGUAAGGUAACGGCUUACCAAGGCGACGAUCAGUAGCCGACCUGAGAGGGUGAUCGGCCACAUUGGAACUGAGACACGGUCCAAACUCCUACGGGAGGCAGCAGUGGGGAAUAUUGCACAAUGGGCGAAAGCCUGAUGCAGCAACGCCGCGUGAGUGAUGAAGGCCUUCGGGUCGUAAAACUCUGUCCUCAAGGAAGAUAAUGACGGUACUUGAGGAGGAAGCCCCGGCUAACUACGUGCCAGCAGCCGCGGUAAUACGUAGGGGGCUAGCGUUAUCCGGAUUUACUGGGCGUAAAGGGUGCGUAGGCGGUCUUUCAAGUCAGGAGUGAAAGGCUACGGCUCAACCGUAGUAAGCUCUUGAAACUGGGAGACUUGAGUGCAGGAGAGGAGAGUGGAAUUCCUAGUGUAGCGGUGAAAUGCGUAGAUAUUAGGAGGAACACCAGUUGCGAAGGCGGCUCUCUGGACUGUAACUGACGCUGAGGCACGAAAGCGUGGGGAGCAAACAGGAUUAGAUACCCUGGUAGUCCACGCUGUAAACGAUGAGUACUAGGUGUCGGGGGUUACCCC